rnacentral:rRNA from 2 species
AACUUUCAACAACGGAUCUCUUGGUUCUCGCAACGAUGAAGAACGCAGCGAACCGCGAUAAGUAUUGUGAAUUGCAGAUUUUCGUGAAUCAUCGAAUCUUUGAACGCACAUUGCACCCUCUGGUAUUCCAGAGGGUAUGCCUGUUUGAGCGUCAUUU